rnacentral:hammerhead_ribozyme from 1 species
ACGAGUCCCAAAUAGGACGAAACGCGCAUCCUGGAU